rnacentral:rRNA from 1 species
AGAGUUUGAUCCUGGCUCAGGAUUAACGCUAGCGAUGUGCCUAAGGUAUGCAAGUCGAACGAUGAAUCAUGAGUAGCAAUACGAUUGAUUCGUAGUGGCAAACGGCUGAGUAACACGUAGGAAUUUCCCCCAAAGUCCGACAUAGCUCACCGAAAGGUGGGGUAAUUUCGGAUAGUCUCUUCGGAGUAAAGAUUCGUCGCUUUGGGAUGAGCCUGCGUCCUAUCAGAUAGUUGGUGAGGUAAUGGCUUACCAAGUCUAUGACGGGUAGCUGAUCUGAGAGGAUGGUCAGCCAGACUGGGACUGAGAUACGGCCCAGACUCCUACGGGAGGCAGCAACUAGGAAUUAUGUGCAAUGGGCGAAAGCCUGACACUGCGACAUCGCGUGGAGGAUGAAGGUCUUAGGAUCGUAAACUCCUUUUAUUGGGGAGCAAGUUCUGAGAGUACCCAAUGAAUAAGUGCCUGCCAACCACGUGCCAGAAGCAUCGGUAAUACGUGGGACACAAGCGUUAUCCGGAUUUACUGGGCGUAAAGAGAUGCGUAGGUGACUUAAUAAGUUCUGUGUUAAAGCCUAAUGCUCACCAUUAGAAGCGCGCAGAAAACUAUUUUGAUUGAGUUAAGUAGGGAGAAGGGGAAUUCCUGGUGGAGCGGUUAAAUGCGUUGAUAUCAGGAGGAACACCAAUAGCGAAGGCACCUUCUUGGACUUAUACUGACACUAAGGCUCGAAAGCGUGGGGAGCAAAACGGAUUAGAUACCCGUGUAGUCCACGCUGUAAACAAUCCUCGCUAGAUAUUUGGUUUAUCUUCUUAUUUUAGACUUCGGUCUAAGGUUUAUGGGGUAAAGUGAGUGUCGCAGCUAACGCGUUAAGCGAGGCGCCUGGGAAGUACGACCGCAAGGUUAAAACCCAAAGGAAUUGACGGGGACCCGCACAAGCAGUGGAGCGCCUGGUUUAAUUCGAUGAUUAGCGAAGAACCUCACCUGGGCUUGAACUGUAGCUGCACAUCCUCCGAAAAGAGGAUUCUUUCGAAGGUGCUAUAGAGGGGCUGCAUGGCUGUCGUCAGCUCGUGUCGUGAGAUGUAGGGUUAAGUCCCGCAACGAGCGCAACCCCUAUCCGAUGUUACAAUUACUUCGGAAACUGCCCCGUUUCAACGGGGAGGAAGGAGGGGAUGACGUCCAGUCAUCAUGUCCCUUAUGUCCAGGGCUACACAGACGCUACAAUGGUCACUACAAUGGGUUGCCAAACCGUAAGGUGGAGCUAAUCCCAACAAAAGUGAUCUCAGUUCAGAUUGAGGGCUGAAACUCGCCCUCAUGAAGUCGGAAUUGCUAGUAAUCGUGCAUCAGCGUGGCACGGUGAAUACGUUCUCGGGUCUUGUACACACCGCCCGUCAGGGCAUGGGAGUUGCUCUUGCUCGAAGCCCUCGUUUAUCGAGGUCGACAGUAAGGGUGGCGACUGGGCUUAAGUCGUAACAAGGUA